CAGCCGCCGCGGGAAUACGAAGGGUGCUAGCGUUGCUCGGAAUGACUGGGCGUAAAGGGCGCGUAGGCGGUUUUGACAGUCAGAUGUGAAAUUCCUGGGCUUAACCUGGGGGCUGCAUUUGAGACGUCAAGACUAGAGUGUGAGAGAGGGUUGUGGAAUUCCCAGUGUAGAGGUGAAAUUCGUAGAUAUUGGGAAGAACACCGGUGGCGAAGGCGGCAACCUGGCUCAUUACUGACGCUGAGGCGCGAAAGCGUGGGGAGCAAACAGGAUUAGAUACCCCCGUAGUCCCUGUCUCUUAUAC
rnacentral:rRNA from 1 species